AGAGUUUGAUCCUGGCUCAGGACGAACGCUGGCGGCGUGCCUAACACAUGCAAGUCGAGCGAUGAAACCCUUCGGGGUGGAUUAGCGGCGGACGGGUGAGUAACACGUGGGCAACCUGCCUCAAAGAGGGGGAUAGCCUCCCGAAAGGGAGAUUAAUACCGCAUAAAAAGUACUUCUCGCAUGAGAGGAACUUUAAAGGA
rnacentral:rRNA from 1 species